UUGCACGCUGGCGGCAGGCCUAACACAUGCCAGUCGAACGGUAACAGGAAGAAGCUUGCUUCUUUGCUGACGAGUGGCGGACGGGUGAGUAAUGUCUGGGAAACUGCCUGAUGGAGGGGGAUAACUACUGGAAACGGUAGCUAAUACCGCAUAAUGUCGCAAGACCAAAGAGGGGGACCUUCGGGCCUCUUGCCAUCGGAUGUGCCCAGAUGGGAUUAGCUAGUAGGUGGGGUAACGGCUCACCUAGGCGACGAUCCCUAGCUGGUCUGAGAGGAUGACCAGCCACACUGGAACUGAGACACGGUCCAGACUCCUACGGGAGGCAGCAGUGGGGAAUAUUGCACAAUGGGCGCAAGCCUGAUGCAGCUAUGCCGCGUGUAUGAAGAAGGCCUUCGGGUUGUAAAGUACUUUCAGCGGGGAGGAAGGGAGUAAAGUUAAUACCUUUGCUCAUUGACGUUACCCGCAGAAGAAGCACCGGCUAACUCCGUG
rnacentral:rRNA from 1 species